rnacentral:tRNA from 1 species
GCCUGGGUGGCUCAGUGGUUGAGCAUCUGCCUUUGGCUCAGGUUGUGAAUCCCAGGGUCCUGGGAUUGAGUCCCACAUCAGGCU